UGGGGAAUAUUGCACAAUGGGCGCAAGCCUGAUGCAGCAACGCCGCGUGAGGGACGACGGCCUUCGGGUUGUAAACCUCUUUUAGUAGGGAAGAAGCGAAAAGUGACGGUACCUGCAGAAAAAGUACCGGCUAACUACGUGCCAGCAGCCGCGGUAAUACGUAGGGUGCGAGCGUUGUCCGGAAUUAUUGGGCGUAAAGAGCUCGUAGGCGGUCUGUCGCGUCUGCUGUGAAAACCCGAGGCUCAACCUCGGGCCUGCAGUGGGUACGGGCAGACUAGAGUGCGGUAGGGGAGAAUGGAAUUCCUGGUGUAGCGGUGGAAUGCGCAGAUAUCAGGAGGAACACCGAUGGCGAAGGCAGUUCUCUGGGCCGUAACUGACGCUGAGGAGCGAAAGCGUGGGGAGCGAACAGGGUUAGAUACCCUGGUAGUCCACGCCGUAAACGUUGGGCGCUAGAUGUGGGGACCAUUCCACGGUUUCCGUGUCGCAGCUAACGCAUUAAGCGCCCCGCCUGGGGAGUACGGCCGCAAGGCUAAAACUU
rnacentral:rRNA from 1 species